CCCUCAAUUAUGUAACUUGUCCAUGGGACAAGAUCAGAUCCUGCAGUAAAUAGAGCACCUGGGUGGUGGGAGCAGUAGAAAGAAAGCUGUCUUGCCUCUUUGGGAAUGGAAAGAACAGAGUGGUCAAGGACUAAUCCUGUGACACCACAAACAGACUUUCAAGAGAUUGUGGAGGGGACAAUGCCAAGUUCAUAUGACAGACAGCUCUUUUAAUGCUUGUACAGUGCCACUUAUUCAUCUGAGGAGGCAAAAGGAAAUUCUUUCAACCCUAAUCCCAGACACAGAAAGGAGCCCAGGUUUACGCCCCUCCCUGCCAAGGACAGAGUGCCACUCAACUUCGUCUUUGCCUACAAGGUGAACCAGCUGCCCAAGCCCGCUAAUGACAUCACAUCUUGAGGGGUGAGGAAAAUAAAAUUGCGGGAGUUUUUUCUUAGCAUGAGAUGUAUUCAAAGUCCAUUUCCACUGCAAUGUCCAAGUACCAGUGUUUCUUGGGAAGAAAAAUAACUAAAGAAAAAAAUUUUUACGCAGUUAAUAUUGGGUGGGGGGAGGGGCGAUCAAUUUAGAAAUGUAGACAAAGGUGCUUUGUAAAUGUGAAGUAAAAAGAUUUUUUUAAGCUGGUUGCUAUUACUGCUCUCAGUUCCAACUCCUUUAUCUCACCAGUGAGAAAACGGACUCCAGAACAUGUUGACUUUCUCAAGAUCAUGUCAUUCCCUUGCUCAAAGAACUUUCAAGAGCUGUCCAUUGCCCACCAGAAAAAAACUUUACAUCUCUUAGACUUUCACUUAAGGCCUUUCUUAUCCUGAUACAGAUUACUUUUCAAAUCAAAUCACCAAUCAAUUACUGAACAGCUACUAAGGUCAAGACACUGUUGGGCUCUGUGAGCAUAGGCAGUCAGAAAAUAUGUUUUAUUUAUUCAAAUAUAUUCUAUUUCCCACAGGAACAAUAACUAUAAUUAAACUCAUCCGCCCUCUACACUCCAAACUUCCCCUGGAUUUUUUUUCCACCUUGGCAUCUUUAUGCAUGGCAUUUCCCACAUCUAAAAUGCUUUCAACCAUCACUACCUCUUUAUUUCAAAACUUUACCCAUCUUCUCAGGCCCAGCUCAAAUGUUAUCUUUUUUAGGAAGUCUCCCCACACAAUACUAGACCAGUGGUUCCCAACCAGGGCAAAUUCCUUCCCCAGGAGAUAUUUGGCAAUGUCUGGAGAAAUUUUUGAUUAUCGCAACAGGCAGUGGCUUCUCUGAGUAAAAGCCAGAGAUGCUAUUAAACACCCUACAAUGAAUAGAAAACUCCAACAACAAAGACUUCUCCAGCCCAAAAUGUCAAUAAUGCUAAGGGUGAGCCACCCUGUACUAGAAGAAAGUGGAAACUCCUCUGAACUACAACACUGAAUGUGUGAACAUUCUUUUGGCAUUUAGCAUAGAUUUUAUUAUCUUUUUGCUACAUUCUCUCUGUCUUCAUGUAUUCUUUUUCCAAACAAUUUGGAAAUUUGGAAAUGAGAGUAACAAUUUUAUGCUAGUCAGCAUCUCCUUCAAUAUUUGAUUCCAUACCUAUGUAAUCAUUGAAAAAAAUCUCUUGAUAAAAUAUUUUUCUAUUCUUCAGUAACAAUGAGCACUCCAGGUUCACAGUUUCACUGUCACAUUUCACCAGUUCCAAUAUCCGUAAGAGUCCCUCAUUUUUAUGCUACCUCCUCAAAUUCCUUACUUUCAUGAAAAUAUGAAGUCCCAACGAAAAACAAAAUGCCAUAAUCCUAAAUUGGUCGGAUGAAUCUGACUCAGGUUGAAAAAGGAGUGUGUCAAGUUUGGCACAACACAGACAUGUACCUAAAUCUCUACUUCGUUUGUCAUCCAUUUCCCCACAUGCAGACUUCAUGUACUCUGUUCUCUCUGUAUAACUUCUCACGAGCUUAGAGUAGAAAGAAGGAGUCAGGUACCUGCAGCAAUUCUUACACUUUCUGUUAUGGCUAACAUGGGGUACAAUUUAAGCAGGACAGGGUUAAAAACUAAAUGCCUUCAGCACUGAAAAGAUUAUCCUUCAUACUCCUCCCAUAUGGAAUUCAAAACAAGUUCAACCAAGUUAUAACUUCCCAUAUAGCAUCUACUUCUACACUGGUGCUUCUAAACUAUGUCUAAUUCUUUCAAACAAAAUGUUUCUCUCUCUCUCUCUCUUUCUCUCUCUAUCUCCUAUUUUAGCAACACCCUCACCAUAUGCUUAGUCUUCCAAUAGAGAAAUCAUCCGUGGCUGAAAGAAAUGGUCAUUGUCUGAUAUCCUUAGCCUACUAAUUUUGAAAAAUUUUCUUCUUUUUUAGAACAUAUGUUUCUUUUUUAAAAAAUAAUGUCUUUUAUUUUUUAAGUUUAUUUAUUUCGAGAGAAAGAGAUAAUGUGAGUGGGGGAGGGGCAGAGAAAGGGAAAGAGGGAAUCCCAAGCAGGCUCCACACUGUCAGCACAGAGCCCGAUGCAGGGCUCAAACCACGAAAUUAUGGUUUAUUUAUUUGAUGGGAAAUUACAUAUAAAGUAAGAAUUAAAUAUGAAACUGUAUAUUCAGUCUAAUGCUAAUUGUAUGAAUAUAGCAUGUAAAUUAUUCAAGAGAUAAAACUUAGAAAGUGCAUCAAACUAGAUCAUGACCCAAGCCUAAAUCAAGAGUCAGUCGUCCAACCAACUAAGCCACCUGGGCUCCCUUAGAACAUAUAUUUCUAAUGAAUGCCAAAAUAACCAAAUAAGAACAUCUCCAAACAUCUAAUGAAAGUCUGGCCUAUCUCUGUAACUAAUCCAAAAAAAUCUAGGGAAAAUAGAACCGCAUCUUCAUUAAAAUGUUUGCCUAGAACAGUGCUUUUCUUUUCUUUUUUUUAAUGUUUAUUUAUUUUUGAGAGAAAGAGACAGAGCAUACGCAGGAGGGGGCAGAGAGAGAGGGAGACACAGAAUCCGAAGCAGGCUCCAGGCUCUGAGCUGUCAGCACAGCACAGAGCCUGAUGGGGGGCUUGCACUCGCGAGGUGAGAUCAUGACCUGAGCUGAAGUCCGAUGCUUAAUUGAGUGAGCCACCCUGGUGCCCCUAGAGCAGUGCUUUUCAAUGGGGUGAAGGAGAAAGUGAUUUUCCUCCCCAGAUAGUGUUGCCAGAUUUAGCAAAUAAAAAUACAGGAUGCUCAGUCAAAUUUGAAUUUCAAAUAAAAAACAAAAAAGGGUUUUUUAUAAGCACUUCAUAUAAAAUAACUUAUUUAAUCCCAUGACAAUUUUAAAAUGUAGGCAUGGAAACCAAGGUUUAGAGAGGUUAAACAGAUUACCCCGACACAAAGCUGGGAAAAGAUGGGCCUGAAUCCAGGUAUGACUCCAGAGCCCAAUGGCUUGCACAUUCUGAUAUUUACCAAGUCAGAAUAUACUCUUCAACAUAAUCAAAAUAAGUUUUUAAUGUAAAUAUGUCCCAUUCAAUAUUUCAGACAUAUUUUAAAAGAAUUCAUUUUUUAUCUGAUAUUCAAAUUUCACAGAGUAUCCUGUGUUUUUUUUUUAAUCUGGCAUCCUAUCCCAUGGGGACAUCUGGCAAUGUCUAGAGACAUUUUGGGGUGUCAGAACAAGGAAGGAUGCUACUGGCAUAUGUAAAGACCAGGAAUGAUGUAAAUGUCCUACAAUAUAUAGGACACUUCACCACAACAAAGAAUUAUUCAGUCCAAAAUGUCAAUAAUGUCAAUGUUGAGAAAUCCUGAUCUAGAAUCACCUUUGAGAAUAUCUAAUCUGCCCUCUUCUUUUAAUCAGAGAGGAAAAGAAGACCCAGAAGAGCUAACGUAAUGUGCUCUAAGACUCACAGCUAAUUACUUUCAAAUCCAGUCAACUUGGAGGCAAACCCAGAAAACCAGUUCCAUUUCUGUGUGGCCCGGAAAUAUUACCUACUAAAGCAGAUACACUUAAGCUAUCCAAGAGUGUAUUCCUUCAGAUUUCCCCCAUAGAGAACAUCAAUCAAGCCCUUGGGUGGCCUCUGCCUGGGAGGAAGAGGAGGUAUAGGGCUCGAGACAAAAUUUUUGUUCAAAUAUUUUUCCAAAUCUUUUUCCCCAACGUUAAUUUUAUUUAUAGGAAAGGAAGGGAAGAGUAAAACUGCUGGCUUGGAAUGAGUUCCAAUCAUGUCUAUUCUCCCCUGCUCCCACUUUUUCUUUGACCUACAAAGACACAUUGUUUGAGUCUUUAGGAGAGGUUAACUUUCCUUAUUCAAGGAUCUCCUGGCUCCUGGAUGUGGGAAAAUUGCUUAAGUAGAAACCAGCCCGAAGAA
rnacentral:lncRNA from 1 species